rnacentral:lncRNA from 1 species
AAGGCUGACCUGCCUACCACACUGCAGACCAUGUGAGUUUAAAAUAGUCUACAAUGCAGUGGUCUGUUAGAUUGGCUCACCAUUGUUGGUGAAACUGCAAAUUUAUGAAUAGAACAAUGAGCUUGGACCUAAACUGGUCAUGAGCUUUGCUGCUGCAUUCUUAAUGAAUCUUGCAAAAUUGGUUCCUCUGGUUUGGUUUUUUUGUUGUUGUUUUUUUUUAAUUGGCUUGUAGAAUGCCUUGAAAGUCUGUUGAAAAGCACUCCGAAGAUGUAGAUCAAUGGCAUGGCUUCAGUGGUGGAACUGCAUGGAGGCAGAGCCAAGUCCUUCCUUCAAGGCUCAUAAAUCAAGAAGAACAAUGGUGAUGGCUUCUGUGAAGCAGUAUCUGUUUGGGGAAACUCAGCAAAGGGUGAAAACUGGCAGAGACUGAAGUACCUGGCACUGUCUAGGUGCAGAUUUCCAGUGUGAGAGACUCCCAACCACUCCCCAUCAUGGCCUCACAUGCUACUGCCUGUGCUCCAUGAUGCAGAAGGAGGAAGAGGCUGUCUGCUCCCAUUGUUGGAUCCUUCCCAGUUGUUACCACAGCUCUGUCCUGCUCUGAUAGAUAUGCAGACCUAGCUCUCUGUUCAGACAUCACCCCCAGGCAGAUGCAGCUGACUGAGAAAUCAGUUUCUCUAUUGCUCAGUAAAGCAGUGCAGGGCAGGUGUACUUUAUUUUCCUGGUAAACUGUUCUGAGUUCCUUGGCAGUGGAUUAAAGCACAACAUGAACCCUCACUCAGCAUUUGCAGCAGCAUGGUCCAACCCUUGCAAGUGCUAGAUUUGGGGAGUGUGACCCCAUCCCCAUGAUCUGGCUUUCUCCAGGGAUGUAACCUUCUUUGCCCUCAGGAAAAUGAACUGUUUUCAUCUUCUCUCUCACCUCCCCUGUCCCUCCAGCAGCUCUGGGGUGCUGCCUACCUGAGGUCAGGGAGAGGGAAGUGGGAGGGGUGGGAUGGCUGCUGCUGCCUCACACACGCUGCAGGGAUGUUACUGCUGGGUGUGUGGGUGUUGAAGAAGCAGAGACAGUGA